GAUGAACGCUGGCGGCGUGCCUAAUACAUGCAAGUCGAGCGAACAGACGAGGAGCUUGCUCCUCUGACGUUAGCGGCGGACGGGUGAGUAACACGUGGAUAACCUACCUAUAAGACUGGGAUAACUUCGGGAAACCGGCGCUAAUACCGGAUAAUAUAUUGAACCGCAUGGUUCAAUAGUGAAAGUCGGUUUUGCUGUCACUUAUAGAUGGAUCCGCGCCGCAUUAGCUAGUUGUUAAGUUAACGGCUUACCAAGGCGACGAUGCGUAGCCGACCUGGGAGGGGGAUCGGCCACACUGGAACUGAGACACGGUCCAGACUCCUACGGGAGGCAGCAGUAGGGAAUCUUCCGCAAUGGGCGAAAGCCUGACGGAGCAAGGCCGCGUGAGUGAUAAAGGUCUUCGGAUCGUAAAACUCUGUUAUUAGGGAAGAACAAAUGUGUAAGUAACUAUGCACGUAUUGACGGUACCUAAUCAGAAAGCCACGGCUAACUACGUG
rnacentral:rRNA from 1 species